UAUGGCCAUUCCACCCUGAAAACAUUCAAUCUCAUCCGAUCUUGUAAGCUAAGCAGGAUUGGGCUCUGUUAGUACUUGGAUGGGAGACCAUAAAUAUUUUGAGAUUCACCCAUGA
rnacentral:rRNA from 1 species